GUAGGCGGAUGUGUAAGUCAGAGGUGAAAGCCCGGGGCCCAACCCCGGAACUGCCUUUGAAACUACACAUCUCGAGACUCGGAGGGGUUGGCGGAAUUCCUAAUGUAGGGGUGAAAUCCGUAGAUAUUAGGAGGAACACCUGUGGCGAAGGCGGCCAACUGGACGAGUACUGACGCUGAGACGCGAAAGCGUGGGGAGCAAACAGGAUUAGAUACCCUGGUAGUCCACGCCGUAAACGAUGAGUGCUAGCUGUUGGGUCCUUGAGGCUCGGUGGCGCAGCUAACGCAUUAAGCACUCCGCCUGGGGAGUACGGUCGCAAGAUUAAAACUCAAAGGAAUUGACGGGGACCCGCACAAGCGGUGGAGCAUGAGGUUUAAUUCGAGGCAACGCGAAGAACCUUACCAGCUCUUGCAUCCUGAUCGCGGAUCGUGGAGACACGUUCCUUCAGUUCGGCUGGAUCAGUGACAGGUGGUGCACGGCUGUCGUCAGCUCGUGUCGUGAGAUGUUGGGUUAAGUCCCGCAACGAGCGCAACCCUCGUCCUUAGUUGCCAGCACUUCGGGUGGGAACUCUAAGGAGACUGCCGGCGUUAAGCCGGAGGAAGGUGGGGACGACGUCAAGUCAUCAUGCCCCUUACGGGCUGGGCUACACACGUGCUACAAUGGUAGUGACAGAGAGUUAACCUCUAAAAACUACCUCAGUUCGGAUUGUCUUCUGCAACUCGAAGGCAUGAAGUUGGAAUCGCUAGUAAUCGCAGGUCAGCAUACUGCGGUGAAUACGUUCCCGGGUCUUGCACACA
rnacentral:rRNA from 1 species